rnacentral:rRNA from 1 species
GCAAGUCUAGGCAGAAAAUUUUUUCGGGUAUGAGUAAACUGGCGAACGGGGGAGUAACGUGAGGGUAAUUUGCCUUCGAGAGGGGUAUAGCCACUGUAAACGGUGAUUAAUACCGCAUAAAGUCUUUAUGCAUAAGUAUAGAGAUGAAAGGUCGGGAUCUUUUAGACCGAUCGCUUGAAGAUAAGCCCGCAUCUGAUUAGCUAGUUGGUGAGGUAACUGCUCACCAAGGCGUCGAUCAGUAGCUGUUCUAAGAGGAAGAUC